AGGAGGAAUGUAUAUCGACUACUGUCGAAUAAAGUUCUAGUUAAUUUAUGAUAAUGACAUUUUUUAACUAUGUGUCUUGACCAAAUCAUGUGCCACCAGUCGCGGUAAUACAUGGAAGACUAGUGUGUAUUCAUCUUUAACAGGUUUAAAGGGUACCUAGACGGCGAAUCAAGCCCCAAAAGGGUACUAAUUUACUAGAGUUUAAUAAGAGAGGGGGAGUACUGAUGAGUGGAGAGAUGAAAUUUUAUGAUACCAUUAGGAACAGACAAGGGCGAAAGCGACCCUUUACAUAAAAACUGACGUUGAGGGACGAAGGCUUUAGUCGUGAACAGGAUUAGAUACCCAAGUAAUUAAAGCAGACAAUGAUGAAUGUCAUAGAUUAGUAGGCACUUCUAUUAAUCUAUAAAUGAAAGUGUAAGCAUUCCACCUCAAGAGUAAUGUGGCAACGCAGAAACUGAAAUCAUUAGACCGUUUCUGAAACCAGUAGUGAAGUAUGUUGUUUAAUUAGAUAAUCCGCAAAAGACCUCACCACAAUUUGUAUAUUAUUAUUUCUUAAUAAUACAAGCGUUGCACGGCUGUCUUCAGUUAAUGUCGUGAGAUUAGGUUAGUUCCAUUAAAUUAACGUAAACCCUUGCUUUAUUUAUAUUAUAAAGUAGAUCMCCGCUAUAUUGGAUGUGAUAAUAGGGACUAAGACMAGUCAUCAUGGCCUGRAUAUUGUGGGCGAUAGACGUGCCACAUAAUCGGAGACAAAGGGAUGCAAAAUUG
rnacentral:rRNA from 1 species